rnacentral:rRNA from 1 species
UACGUAGGGGGCUAGCGUUGUCCGGAAUCAUUGGGCGUAAAGCGCGUGUAGGCGGUCCGGUAAGUCCGCUGUGAAAGUCGAGGGCUCAACCCUCGAAUGCCGGUGGAUACUGUCGGGCUUGAGUACGGGAGAGGCGAGUGGAAUUCCUGGUGUAGCGGUGAAAUGCGCAGAUAUCAGGAGGAACACCAAUGGCGAAGGCAGCUCUCUGGUACGUGACUGACACUGAGACGCGAAAGCGUGGGGAGCGAACAGG